GACGUAGGGCGCGAGCGUUGUCCGGAAUUAUUGGGCGUAAAGAGCUCGUAGGCGGUCUGUCACGUCGGCUGUGAAAACCCGAGGCUCAACCUCGGGCCUGCAGUCGAUACGGGCAGACUAGAGGUAUUCAGGGGAGAACGGAAUUCCUGGUGUAGCGGUGAAAUGCGCAGAUAUCAGGAGGAACACCGGUGGCGAAGGCGGUUCUCUGGGAAGUG
rnacentral:rRNA from 1 species